ACGUAGGGGGCGAGCGUUAUUCGGAAUUACUGGGUGUAAAGGGUAUGUAGGCGGCCCUUCAAGUCGCGUGUCAAAGUCCAGUGCUCAACGCUGGGUGUGCACGCGAUACUGACGGGCUUGAGGGCUGGAGAGGUGAGCGGAAUUCCCGGUGUACUGUUAAAAUACGGGUAUAUCGGGAGGAACACCAGCGGCGUGGGAGGCACACUAGACUGUUUCUGUGGCUAAGCUUCCUAAGUGUGUGGAGCUUACCG
rnacentral:rRNA from 1 species